rnacentral:rRNA from 1 species
GAUGAACGCUGGCGGCGUGCCUAAUACAUGCAAGUCGAGCGAACGGACGAGAAGCUUGCUUCUCUGAUGUUAGCGGCGGACGGGUGAGUAACACGUGGAUAACCUACCUAUAAGACUGGGAUAAUUUCGGGAAACCGGAGCUAAUACCGGAUAAUAUUUUGAACCGCAUGGUUCAAAAGUGAAAGACGGUCUUGCUGUCACUUAUAGAUGGAUCCGCGCUGCAUUAGCUAGUUGGUAAGGUAACGGCUUACCAAGGCAACGAUGCAUAGCCGACCUGAGAGGGUGAUCGCCCACACUGGAACUGAGACACGGUCCAGACUCCUACGGGAGGCAGCAGUAGGGAAUCUUCCGCAAUGGGCGAAAGCCUGACGGAGCAACGCCGCGUGAGUGAUGAAGGUCUUCGGAUCGUAAAACCCUGUUAUUAGGGAAGAACAUAUGUGUAAGUAACUGUGCACAUCUUGACGGUACCUAAUCAGAAAGCCACGGCUAACUACGUG